GGAGAGGUGGCUCAACAGUUAAGAGCACUGGCUGCUCUUACAGAGGGCCUGGGUUCAAUUCCCAGCACCUACU
rnacentral:tRNA from 1 species